rnacentral:rRNA from 1 species
UACAGAGGCCUCGAGCGUUAUUCGGAAUCACUGGGCUUAAAGCGUGUGUAGGCGGGUCGUUAAGUGUCUUGUGAAAUCCCCCGGCUCAACCGGGGAAUGGCUGGGCAUACUGGCGAUCUUGAGCAGUCUAGGGGCAGAUGGAACAAGUGGUGGAGCGGUGAAAUGCGUAGAUAUCACUUGGAACGCCAAAGGUGAAAACAGUCUGCUGGGGACUUGCUGACGCUGAGACACGAAAGCCAGGGGAGCGAACGGG